rnacentral:lncRNA from 1 species
CGAUUUAUUAUUAUCUUUGUUGAAAAAAAAUGAUUUAUUAUAUUACAUCAUAAAAUACUGGUUUAUGCAUAAACCAGAAAGCUCAUCAAUUAACUUGAAUGCGAAGCUCAAGAAAGACAAAUUCCCCUAAGUUUAAGAGCAUUUUCAUCAUUCCUUAGAAACCAAUUCCCGGGUUACAAAGAAUCGGAAACUAAUGAAGAGAAAUCUAAUAAAAAUUUUUAACAGAAACCCAAACCUUAAGACUGAGGGUGAGGGAGUACUUCGAGCUUGUGAGCAAUGUAUCGAAACGAAGUCGAGAUUGAGGCCAUGACUGCAACGGACUAAGAGAAUUUUGUUUCCAAUAGAAAAGCUAAUAGAUUUGAUGAUGGCUUCUCCGCCGCCAUGUCGUUCUUCUCCACCUCGUCGCUGCCACGGUCAUUUAGAUCCAGAAUCAAGCUCACUCAUAGCCAUAAUCAGUCUCGAUAUAAGCUCCAGAAUCUGAAUCGGAGGGAAGCGUUGAUGGUUUUGCUUGGAACAAUGACUGUGAUACGGGAAGAGGAAGAAGCUUUGACGUGAAGGUUGGGUUCAUCUUCUGCUUGCUCCAGCCUGUCUCAAUUUCAUCGAAAAUAUGGCAUAGGGUUUGGGAAUAGAGAGAGACAACAGAGAGAGAUAGAGAGGAAUUUGGGAAGAAGGAGAAGCAAUAGGGUUUGUGUUUGACGACAGAUUCAGUUUGUAGAUUUUGGAUUUUUU